rnacentral:rRNA from 1 species
CUACGUGCCAGCAGCCGCGGUAAUACGUAGGUCCCGAGCGUUGUCCGGAUUUAUUGGGCGUAAAGCGAGCGCAGGCGGUUUGAUAAGUCUGAAGUUAAAGGCUGUGGCUCAACCAUAGUUCGCUUUGGAAACUGUCAAACUUGAGUGCAGAAGGGGAGAGUGGAAUUCCAUGUGUAGCGGUGAAAUGCGUAGAUAUAUGGAGGAACACCGGUGGCGAAAGCGGCUCUCUGGUCUGUAACUGACGCUGAGGCUCGAAAGCGUGGGGAGCGAACAGGAUUAGAUACCCUGGUAGUCCACGCCCUAAACGAUGUCAAUUAGCUGUUGGGCAACUUGAUUGCUUAGUAGCGUAGCUAACGCGUGAAAUUGACCGCCUGGGGAGUACGGUCGCAAGAUUAAAACUCAAAGGAAUUGACGGGGACCCGCACAAGCGGUGGAUGAUGUGGAUUAAUUCGAUGCAACGCGAAGAACCUUACCUGGUCUUGACAU